rnacentral:rRNA from 1 species
CCCUUAGAUGUUCUGGGCUGCACGCGUGCUACACUGAUAUUGCCAAUAUGUCAUUCUUAUCCGAAAUGGAUUGGGUAAUCAAGUAAUGAAAUUUCAUGCUUGGAAUCGGUAAUUGCAAUUUUAUCGUGAACGAGGAAUUCCUAGUAAGCACUAGUCAUCAGCUAAUGUUGAUUAUGUCCCUGCCCUUUGUACACACCGCCCGUCGCUACUACUGAUUGGGUGUUCAAGUGAGAUGCUUAGACCCUUGUUGCAUGGUUCAUUAUUGUGCUCCGAAAGGAAAAAGUUUCAAGCUUGAGUGUCUAGAGGAAGUAAAAGUCGGAACA